UCGAAGCUUGGGAUUGAUCUCAUUCUAACCUAAUUGGUAGGUCAACGAACGCAUCGGUGUGCUCGGUUCGGCGAUACGACGAGCGUGCGCGAAGAUAUUAGAAAAAGAAGCCGAGUUGGUACAGAUUGCCGCAGCUUGCGGCGAAAGUGUCUAAAAAUCGUGAAAACAGAACCACGGCAUCCUAGCAUCACACAAAGGUGGGGGGUGCUAUCCGA
rnacentral:lncRNA from 1 species